AAGGCUUUAAGUUAAUUAAACUAGAAGCCUUCAAAGCUUCCAAUGGUAUCUUUACCAAGCCUUG
rnacentral:tRNA from 1 species